UUCUUCUCAUGUUCAUUAACAGCAAUCAACAAACAGCACCCAAACUAGAUCAAUCAUAACAAACACCAACAUGUGGAUUUUACAAGCAAGUUUAUGAUUCAUACACAACAGCAUAGCAUUUCAACAUUCGAACAUCAACCAAACAACACCAUGGCAUUCAGCAAGCAGACAGCAUUCAUCAUUAUCUAUCAACCAAACCAAAUAAACAACAGCAUGGUAUAAUUAUGGACAAGGUAAUUGGUUUAAAU
rnacentral:lncRNA from 1 species